rnacentral:rRNA from 1 species
UACGAAGGGGGCUAGCGUUGCUCGGAAUCACUGGGCGUAAAGCGCACGUAGGCGGCUUUCUAAGUCAGGGGUGAAAUCCUGGAGCUCAACUCCAGAACUGCCUUUGAUACUGGAGAGCUUGAGUCCGGAAGAGGUGAGUGGAACUCCGAGUGUAGAGGUGAAAUUCGUAGAUAUUCGGAAGAACACCAGUGGCGAAGGCGGCUCACUGGUCCGGUCUGACGCUGAGGUGCGAAAGCGUGGGGAGCAACAGG